rnacentral:rRNA from 1 species
AGAGUUUGAUCAUGGCUCAGAACGAACGCUGGCGGCAUGCCUAACACAUGCAAGUCGAACGAACUCUUCGGAGUUAGUGGCGCACGGGUGAGUAACACGUGGGUGAUCUGCCCUGCACUUUGGGAUAAGCCUGGGAAACUGGGUCUAAUACCGAAUAUGACCAUGCACUUCCUGGUGUGUGGUGGAAAGCUUUUGCGGUGUGGGAUGGGCCCGCGGCCUAUCAGCUUGUUGGUGGGGUAAUGGCCUACCAAGGCGACGACGGGUAGCCGGCCUGAGAGGGUGACCGGCCACACUGGGACUGAGAUACGGCCCAGACUCCUACGGGAGGCAGCAGUGGGGAAUAUUGCACAAUGGGCGCAAGCCUGAUGCAGCGACGCCGCGUGAGGGAUGACGGCCUUCGGGUUGUAAACCUCUUUCAGCACAGACGAAGCGCAAGUGACGGUAUGUGCAGAAGAAGGACCGGCCAACUACGUGCCAGCAGCCGCGGUAAUACGUAGGGUCCGAGCGUUGUCCGGAAUUACUGGGCGUAAAGAGCUCGUAGGUGGUUUGUCGCGUUGUUCGUGAAAACUCACAGCUUAACUGUGGGCGUGCGGGCGAUACGGGCAGACUUGAGUACUGCAGGGGAGACUGGAAUUCCUGGUGUAGCGGUGGAAUGCGCAGAUAUCAGGAGGAACACCGGUGGCGAAGGCGGGUCUCUGGGCAGUAACUGACGCUGAGGAGCGAAAGCGUGGGGAGCGAACAGGAUUAGAUACCCCGGUAGUCC